rnacentral:rRNA from 1 species
GAGGAAAGCAGGGGAUCGCAAGACCUUGCGCUUUUGGAGCGGCCGAUGUCUGAUUAGCUAGUUGGUGAGGUAAAGGCUUACCAAGGCGUCGAUCAGUAGCUGGUCUGAGAGGACGACCAGCCACACUGGGACUGAGACACGGCCCAGACUCCUACGGGAGGCAGCAGUGGGGAAUUUUGGACAAUGGGGGAAACCCUGAUCCAGCCAUGCCGCGUGAGUGAAGAAGGCCUUCGGGUUGUAAAGCUCUUUCAGCCGGAACGAAACGGUCACGGCUAAUACCUGUGACCACUGACGGUACCGGAAGAAGAAGCACCGGCUAACUACGUGCCAGCAGCCGCGGUAAUACGUAGGGUGCAAGCGUUAAUCGGAAUUACUGGGCGUAAAGCGUGCGCAGGCGGUUUUGUAAGUCAGAUGUGAAAUC